UACGGGGGGGGGCAAGCGUUGUUCGGAAUUACUGGGCGUAAAGGGCUCGUAGGCGGCCAACUAAGUCGGAUGUGAAAUCCCCAGGCUUAACCGGGGAACUGCGUCCGAUACUGGUUGGCUUGAGUUUGGGAGAGGGAUGCGGAAUUCCAGGUGUAGCGGUGAAAUGCGUAGAUAUCUGGAGGAACACCGGUGGCGAAGGCGGCAUCCUGGACCAAUACUGACGCUGAGGAGCGAAAGCCAGGGGAGCAAACGGG
rnacentral:rRNA from 1 species